rnacentral:rRNA from 1 species
CCCUUAGAUGUUCUGGGCCGCACGCGCGCUACACUGACGAAUGCAACGAGCUUAUAACCUUGGCCGAAAGGUCUGGGUAAUCUCCAAAUUUCGUCGUGAUGGGGAUAGAUUAUUGCAAUUAUUAAUCUUCAACGAGGAAUUCCUAGUAAACGCAAGUCAUCAGCUUGCAUUGAUUACGUCCCUGCCCUUUGUACACACCGCCCGUCGCACCUACCGAUUGAAUGGUCCGGUGAAAUCUUCGGAUCUGAGAGAUGUCUGAUUAAUUUCGGACGCCUUUUGGAAAAGUUGUUUAAACCUUACCAUUUAGAGGAAGGUGAAGUCGUAACA